UUUUUUCCCCGUCUGCUUUUAUGUUUGUUGUGUCGCAGCUUAGCUAGGGGCGAUUUGCAGUGUUCUCAUUUGCAGGUUAUUUGCGUUCAACAGAGAACGUAACUUUUCCUGAGUGUAAAAGUGAACGAUGCUUUGCUGCGACAGACCCGAAGAGUCGUUUGUCUUUUUCGAGUAGGGGAGAGAUGCAUUGUACGGCUGAUAAUCAAUGGAUGCCGAUUGGGCUCGGUAUAAUCCAACACAGUUUUCAAGCCCACUUGAGAGAGAGAGAGAGAGAGAGAGAGAGAGAGGAGGAUACAGAUUAUUAUUUUUAUAAGACUCUUUACCUUUAUCUUGGAGGAUUGUAGGAGGAGACAUGUCACUUCCUCCCUCCUUUCCUCCUCUUUUUUUCUUUCCCUCUUUUUUUUACUAAUUCAUUUCGAUUUUAACUUUAUUUUUCCAAGUAUCAAUAAAAGAUGAAAAUUAUGAGCCAAUUAUAAAAUUAUUUACAAAUAUUUCAAGGCUCAAUAGCUCAUAUUUGCAAGUGUAAUUGUCCGAACGAAUUAGGUUAUGUAUUCAUUUUGAAUAAUUAAUUUUGAACAAAGAUAUUGGUCAACUAGAUAAGCUGAAUCAAAUUAGUAUUUAACAAUAUCAUAUUAAAAUUAGAUUAGUUUCAUAAUUUCCUUAUCUUAGGCCAUCCUCAACUAUCAUAUACUUUUCAUAAUCUUCUUUUCCUUUCAUGACUACAAAAAUAAGCAAUGUUGUUUUCCUUAUAUUUUAUAUUCUAAUUUAAUAUAUAUAUAUACAAAAGAAAUUGCUCAUAUGAUCACCAAAGAUCAAAGAAAUAAUUUCUCAUUUGAAAUUUUACAAAAAUAAAACAAAUGAGAGAAAUUAUGGUUUAUUUUGUAUCUAUGAAAACCAUAAAUAUUACAAAUAAUUUAAAGGAAUUGAUAUUAAGAAAAAUAUCCAAUCUUUCGAAUGUUAUGUGUGUAUACAUAUAUAAGUUUUGCAUCUAAAAGAAAUCAGCAAAUCUCUAUAAGUAAUUUAGAAUAAUUAAUUUCGAAGAAAGAUUCCCAUUUUUAAGUGUUAUGGAGGUAUAUAUUUCAUGGUUCAUUUUGUAUUUAUAUGAAAUCAUAAGAUCUCUACAAGUAACUAAAAAGAAGUAAUUGCAAGGGAAAGAUUCACGCUUCAAAUUAUCUUAUUAUGCAUCCAAACAUGGUAGUAAUCACUUCAUCUUAAUUCUUUUAGAAAAAAACAUUUAUAUACACUUCACAUCAUCUUACUUAGACCACUAACAAAGUAAAGCAUAAAAGUUGAGUACUAUUAGAAGAUAAUAUAAAUAUUUAUGAAAAAAAGUACUUUCAUUAUUGGUCAACCUUACAACAUUAGCCAACAAAAUUAUAUGCGAAGCACGGCUGACAAGACUAGUGAAAUUAAUGAAAAUGAAGAUAGUUGACGAUGAUGCAAAUCAUAAAUUCACACAAGUGAACAGAAUACAAAAUCUUAAUUACUUAUACGAUUAUCCAGCUUGAGAGUAAGAUAGUUUUAGUACUUUUUUUUGCUAUGAUUAUUGGCUUUUAAUCGAAAGGCCAAGCCUCCUCAAAUAUGGUGAUUCGGUCCCGUCUAAUCUAAUAUAUUGUCUGUAGUCAAAGUCGAAGCUGAAAAAAUAGCUGCUCUAAUGCUCUACCACAUGACACUUCAUUUUGCUUCCGAAACUACCAUGUAAAAUUUAUAUAUUCUAUUUAUAUUGAGUUUAAACUUAAAAAAGUAUAAACUAGAGAAAAGUAUUUUAAAUUAAACUCUCCAUUGACAUUUUUUUUUUCAAUGUAAUUUCUUAGACGUAUUUGUAAACAGCAAAAUUUAAGCCAUAAAAUGCUGCAUAUAUAUUUCAGUGCUUAAUUUUGAUUUGCAAGCAUAACUCUCCAAUCAAAUCAGGACAUGUAUACAAGGUAGAACAAUUAAACUUGAACGAGAAUAUCGAUCGAUUGGAUAAGCUAAAUCAAAUUAGCAUUAUCCACAUGAUUUUAACAAUUAAUUCAAUAUUGGUUGAAAAAACUAAAAUUUGGUCUAAUCUUUCUGGAGCAAUGGAAAUUUCGAAUAGUUGACCAUGAUCAUUUUGCACUAUUUGAAUAUAAUCUUUCUAGGAAGAGCUUUCGCCUUGCUUGUAUCGCAAUGUACAUGAAUAGACAAUCGAUAAUGGAAUGAUAAUAUACGAGAUGGAGCUUGGAUAGAGAAAGUGAACUCCACCAUAGUCCAAUGACCCAAAGGCCAUACUCUAAACCCAAAAAAUGUUUAAAUGUUUGAAAUGGACUUUGUGAUGCCCAAAUGCAGGUCCUAGUGGAAGAGAUCCUCUGAUAAUUGAGGGUGGUUUGAGUCUGACCCAAAAGAAAAAACAAAGAAACUUGAACUCAUUCCAAGAUUCAUCCGUUGCGUCUUGUACUAUCUUGAUGUUUGCAUUGGGCUCUUCUCGACCUUCCACUGAUAAAUGUACUGUCUUGAAACAUUGCGCAAGUCAGUUUUUAAGGAGAAAAACGUAUGUUGUGACACGUUCUUCUUGUGAUGGCCACAAAUGAAAACGUGCUCUCCUGAUGACCAAAAAAAAAAAAUUGUACAAUGGCCCAACACUCCAAUGCACUUAUAUGCAGUGUCGGUGGAAUAUAGGUUGGUCUUAAAACUUCAUGGGCAAUGAGUGGUCCAAAGACCAUCCAAUUGAUUGGCUCAUUUUGUAAUUCCCGACAGAUACAAGGCAUCGGCCCAGGAAGAGCAACGUCAACUCCUAAUAGAUUCACUGAACUUUAGGAGCCCAUGAUCAUCCCCUCUGCAUCUUCAAAACCCAGUAAACCAAUAAGACAGCAAAAGAAAGUGCUAAAAUUGGAUGAUGGAUCCACUCAAAUAGAUAAAAUUAUCUCCAACACAACAUGGUAAAAAAAUCUGUCACGGGAUUAAAAUCAACAAUCGCCAUCUCCGAAACAAGCCAAAAAUGACCACAACCACACAUUUUAUGUCCAUUUACCCAGAAAUGUUAUCACUAUCUCUGAAACAACACAAUAAAAGAUCUAUCGCACGGUUGAAAUUAGCAAUCGCUAACUCUUGUUCAUCCAUUGUUGUCCACCAUCAAAAUAGGCAGAAAGUUUGAUGCAACAAGCAAGACACACAUGCUGUAAAUGUCAAGCCUGAACUCGAAUGUUCAGACCAGCGUUUUGGUUAUGGUAGUUUGCACAAACCUUAUGCACAUAAGUUUCCCUUGGUUGUCUUUACCAAUUCAUCGAGCAGUCUGUUGUCAUUAACAAGGCAUCGAAGACCACAUAUCUUCACUAAAGAUGUGAAAUAUGCAUACACCAAAAUACGCACUGACACCGACACCUAGUUCAAUUGGGUCAUUCUACACUGAAGUUAUAAGCAUUCCCUUCAACCAUCCUCUCCACUUGCGACAUAUCAGGAUCCACAUGCCCACCUGUUCCGGCCACGUCACUUUGGACGCAAGUCUCUUCGUAGUUCAUCACCACUGCCAGUCCAAAAUCUGAGAGAGCCACUUGGUAUUUCUCAUCCAACAGUUCAUUCAAAGCUUUAAUAUCUCGAUGGAUGAUCUCGGGAUCGCAGUCUUCAUGCAAGUAAGCUAGCGCCUUGGCAACUCUGGUCGCAACCCUCAUCCUUACUGACCAUUCCAGGGUGGUCCCCCGAUCUAAAAGAUUUGACCAAGAUGAUCUCAAGUGAUGUGCUACGCUUCCUUGAGGCAUAAACGGAUAGACUAGAAAUAGUUCUGUAUGAUGCAAAACCCAAGCAGACCGAGCACAUUGCGGUGCUUGACUAUGCUGCUCACUUUCAGUUCUGUCAGGAACUCUGCGAGGUUGCUUCCUCCCAAUCUCUUGACGGCUACUAAAGAACCGUCCACUAAGCUUCCCUUAUAAACCGUAGAAAAUCCACCCUACCCAGAACACGAGCAAAAUUAUUCGUCAUAAUUUGCACCUCACGUAGAGAAAACCUCUUGGCUAGUCUUAGAUGACUCUGCAGAUCCUCUUGACAAGGUAUACAAUACCCCGGUUGCUUCUUCAGGACUUGCCGCCACCAAGGAAGCUUGCUUGGUGGGGCCAGGCACGAAGAAUCAGAGGGCGCUGCAUCACCUUUCACAAUAGCCCUCACAAACCUCAACUUGCUUUGCCAGAGGACAGCCACAGAGGAGGACUCGCUGGUGGCAACAAGCCCGGGCGGGUAUUGAACCUGUCUUCUAUGUAACUGGAGCCUAGCUUGAACAACAUUUGAAACCCAGAUAAGCAAGUGUCGCUUUGGACCUCUCAGAGUUCUGAUGCAAGAAUCGCUCGAUUGGUGGGAAAAGAUUACGAGAAUGAGAAUGAGGUAGUUGUAUCAAAGUCUUUGAUCCAUCAUUCCAGGCUGAACUGAGGGAAUUACUAAUGGCCAUGGCCACGGAUCAUCUACGUAGCUUCCACAUUUCAGUUCGACUGUUUUUGCCCACCAAUCCCACUCGUUUUGGCAAGUUUUUCAGAGUAUAGACAUCACAACACAAGAGACACCAUUUUUCAUUGAAAUGGUUGAAAGACUUUGAGCCGAUAACUUUAACCAGCCAUUGAUUAAUCAAAGGUUGUGGUUUGAACUUGGAAGUGGUUGAACUUCUAUAAUUCCCAUUUAUGCCUUCGACUCAGAUUCUGGAAAUUACUCUACAAUCAACCGUAAUCUCAAUAACCUCUGUGAAACAGCGGCCAAAGGGUUAAAUAUGAAGUCAGUCCGUCAGACAGACAUGUGACCACUCCAGCCAGAGACUCCAGCGGAGAUCAAUCCUCUUAUGGCUCUGAUGGGUCCAUACUGACCACGCUCCGAUCGUGAUGGUUUUAAUUGAUAUACUUAUGUUAUGAACUCGUUAUGAUUGGCUUUUAAAGGGCCCUCGCAAGUGAAGGUUUGGUCCCAAUUCUGAUGCUGCUGUUUCUUUUGAAUCUUUGAAUACUAGAGUUGCUUGGUUUUGGCCUGAAGGCUAGAUCCAGAUAAGAAGAAUUGGAUCCACGCUAAUACAGACAUGCUCAUACAAUUGGCAAAUGCUUAAUCUAAACAAUCUCAAAAAGACAAUAAUCAAACAGUUGAUAGGAUCGGACACUUUCUGCUGUCUUAAGCACAUGAUAUAUGCUGCGAAAUUAAUCAAGAAGUGGAAAGAUUGGCACAGACUAGUGCUGAUUAAUUCUUGCAUUUCUUGACACUGCUUCAGUGGACGUCCGAAUGGAGCUUGUGUUCUGUGAACCUGAAGGUCAGGUAAGAGAAUAUUUGAGUUUUGUUGUACUCAUGCCAGAAACAUCUGGAGCAGAAUCCUUUUUUCAGAUCAACUUUAAUAGGCAUUUCAAGGAAGCAAAAGAAGAAUCAGACAUCAUGAAGUCCUUAGUGUUCACUGUUCUGGCAUCCGAGAACAUUAAAGACAACUUGGUCGGGACACCGAUUUAAUUUGCCUUUGCCUUUCCCUACAUUCGAUAAAAUAUAUGUAGACCAGAUGAAAAAUGAAACAAAGUUGUUCGUAGCUGCCGAAUUAUAAAUUUUAAUUAUACAGAGAGAGUGUUGCACUUGUCCCGCACUACAACACAUGACAACAGCGAUUUUCCUCUCUUAAAUUGGAAAACAUAAAACUAGAAGGCGAAGAACUUUGGAAAAAUCCACCCCUACCUGGAACGGAACUCGGGAGAACAGUCACGAGUUCCACCUCACGAAGAGAAAACCUUUUUUGACUAGUCUUGCAUGAUUUUGCCGAUGCUCUUCAGGAAGUUCUAUCUUCUUGAGCCAUCCACCAGUGUCCUUUAUCAACUCAGUGAUUCACCUGUAACCAAAUAAAUAAAUAAAUAAAAAGAAAAAAAGAGGGGAGUCUGUCAGACAGCCGUGUGACCAUCCCAGCCCCAGUGGGCUGAGAACGAUCCUCUACAGCUCAAAUGGAUCCAAGCAGGACCCAGAAGAGCCGUUAAUCACGCUCUGGUUACACGGCCAUGGUUCAUCCACCAGACUUUGGUUCCUGUCUCCUUAGGUCUCAAGGACACAGAGGUACGAGCCUAUAGAACAGAUCCUGUUCAAGUAAGGUCGUGACCUACUCCCCUUGCUCCCCUGCUUAAAUACCGAUUGUUCUUCGAGAGCGCUAUCGAUGUGGGACUUUAGGAGGUCACGCGCAUAAAGCGCACUCAACCCACCACCUCCCUCCACCGGUUUCUUCUCUC
rnacentral:lncRNA from 1 species